CCAAAGAUGAAGAAGUAAUCUUAGUAGUAAGCGGUUGGACAUUUAGGAAGCAAGUGGUAACUGUAAACUUUGCCAAUGCCGUUAUACGAAUUACACUUACGGAGUCUUUCAGUAUUUGAACGGAUCGUCUCGUUAUCGACUAGAGUGGUAGCUAUUUAGCUGCAAUCAAGGUGGUAACGCGGUAAAUCGUCCCUGAC
rnacentral:ncRNA from 1 species